UCGACGAACUCUGGUAUUGAUUGGUGCUUGCAUCAUGAUUUACAUUUGAGUGAGUGGCGAACUGGUGAGUAACACGUGGGAAACCUGCCCAGAAGCGGGGGAUAACACCUGGAAACAGAUGCUAAUACCGCAUAACAACUUGGACCGCAUGGUCCGAGCUUGAAAGAUGGCUUCGGCUAUCACUUUUGGAUGGUCCCGCGGCGUAUUAGCUAGAUGGUGGGGUAACGGCUCACCAUGGCAAUGAUACGUAGCCGACCUGAGAGGGUAAUCGGCCACAUUGGGACUGAGACACGGCCCAAACUCCUACGGGAGGCAGCAGUAGGGAAUCUUCCACAAUGGACGAAAGUCUGAUGGAGCAACGCCGCGUGAGUGAAGAAGGGUUUCGGCUCGUAAAACUCUGUUGUUAAAGAAGAACAUAUCUGAGAGUAACUGUUCAGGUAUUGACGGUAUUUAACCAGAAAGCCACGGCUAACUACGUGCCAGCAGCCGCGGUAAUACGUAGGUGGCAAGCGUUGUCCGGAUUUAUUGGGCGUAAAGCGAGCGCAGGCGGUUUUUUAAGUCUGAUGUGAAAGCCUUCGGCUCAACCGAAGAAGUGCAUCGGAAACUGGGAAACUUGAGUGCAGAAGAGGACAGUGGAACUCCAUGUGUAGCGGUGAAAUGCGUAGAUAUAUGGAAGAACACCAGUGGCGAAGGCGGCUGUCUGGUCUGUAACUGACGCUGAGGCUCGAAAGUAUGGGUAGCAAACAGGAUUAGAUACCCUGGUAGUCCAUACCGUAAACGAUGAAUGCUAAGUGUUGGAGGGUUUCCGCCCUUCAGUGCUGCAGCUAACGCAUUAAGCAUUCCGCCUGGGGAGUACGGCCGCAAGGCUGAAACUCAAAGGAAUUGACGGGGGCCCGCACAAGCGGUGGAGCAUGUGGUUUAAUUCGAAGCUACGCGAAGAACCUUACCAGGUCUUGACAUACUAUGCAAAUCUAAGAGAUUAGACGUUCCCUUCGGGGACAUGGAUACAGGUGGUGCAUGGUUGUCGUCAGCUCGUGUCGUGAGAUGUUGGGUUAAGUCCCGCAACGAGCGCAACCCUUAUUAUCAGUUGCCAGCAUUAAGUUGGGCACUCUGGUGAGACUGCCGGUGACAAACCGGAGGAAGGUGGGGAUGACGUCAAAUCAUCAUGCCCCUUAUGACCUGGGCUACACACGUGCUACAAUGGAUGGUACAACGAGUUGCGAACUCGCGAGAGUAAGCUAAUCUCUUAAAGCCAUUCUCAGUUCGGAUUGUAGGCUGCAACUCGCCUACAUGAAGUCGGAAUCGCUAGUAAUCGCGGAUCAGCAUGCCGCGGUGAAUACGUUCCCGGGCCUUGUACACACCGCCCGUCACACCAUGAGAGUUUGUAACACCCAAAGUCGGUGG
rnacentral:rRNA from 2 species